CACCCCGUACUAUCAGCUGGUAAAGCUGCAGGACCCCGUCGACCUCUUCAGGGAGCUGAUGGUAACCUCCACACAGGCGGAGGGCUUGUACAGCCUGGUUAGUGUCAUCAGCCAUUUAGGCACCAGAGGAAACAGUGGACACUACAUCAGUGACGGCGUGCACCCGGACCAGGACAUGGGUGGUGCAG